rnacentral:tRNA from 1 species
GGGAAAGUGGCUCAGUAGGUAGAGUGCUUGCCUUGCAUGCAUGAGGCCCUGAGUUUGAUUCCUCAGCACCA